GAUGAAGAACGUAGCGAAAUGCGAUACGUAAUGUGAAUUGCAAAUUCAGUGAAUCAUCGAGUCUUUGAACGCACAUUGCGCCCCCCGGUAUUCCGGGGGGCAUGCCUGUCCGAGCGUCAUUGCUGCCCUCAAGCACGGCUUGUGUGUUGGGCCCCGUCCUCCGAUCCCGGGGGACGGGCCCGAAAGGCAGCGGCGGCACCGCGUCCGGUCCUCGAGCGUAUGGGGCUUUGUCACCCGCUCUGUAGGCCCGGCCGGCGCUUGCCGAUCAACCCAAAUUUUUAUCCAGGUUGACCUCGGAUCAGGUAGGGAUACCCGCUGAACUUAAGCAUAUCAAUAAGCGGAGGA
rnacentral:misc_RNA from 1 species